CUGGACUUCUACUGCGUGGACCUCCUUUCGUCUCGGCGCCACUGGCCUUUUGUCCAGGAGAUCAUCGGCUUCUGCGCAGUGAGUCCCGGAUUGUUCCGUCUAUGAGUGAACCCAGGUCCAGAAAUUAACAGGUAAGAUUGAUACCGUUAGAGCGGUAGACCCACAAGGGGUUUUAUAUUUGGAACCGGUUAUUGGAAUCUGCCCUGUCCUUAUGGAUGGAAGAAGUGAAAAGCGCAACACUUAUCUGGAAAUUAGACGCUCUGUAGUCAGCCCGUUUAAUAUAGGUGGUUUGGGUCAGACUGAGUUCUGGUGUAAAUAGCUCAUGUCGGACACCGGUGACCUGUCUUGACUAGCGUAUCUAGGGUGUAAAUUUUGUUCGCUAGGUCGGGGGGACCGGGAGAGUAGCAUACUCUGUUGUAUAUUAUAGUUUGCUAGAUUUCACCCUAUCUUAACUAAGUGUGCUCUGUUGUAAAUCCAGCCACUAGCUUAUUGAUAGUUUAAUAGACUAGCUGGGUACUGUGUAAAUUCUGCCCUCUAGUUCGCUA